rnacentral:rRNA from 1 species
GACAGAGGAUGCAAGCGUUAUCCGGAAUGAUUGGGCGUAAAGCGUCUGUAGGUGGCUUUUUAAGUUCGCCGUCAAAUCCCAGGGCUCAACCCUGGACAGGUGGUGGAAACUACCAAGCUAGAGUACGGUAGGGGCAGAGGGAAUUUACGGUGUAGCGGUGAAAUGCGUAGAUAUCGUAAGGAAGACCAGUGGCGAAGGCGGGUCUCUGGACAGUUCCUGACGCUGAGGCACGAAGGUCAGGGGAGCAAACGGG